UUCACGCGGAAACUCGCCAAAAGAAUGCGCGGCAACGCUCCAAGAUGUGAUACGGCAAUAAUAACACUCUUCUAUUUUUACCGUCCGAACUCCCAAUCGAUCGAUCGAUGCCUCAUCAUAGAUCGUAUCGGGGUGAGUCGCGACGCUUCUUCGAACGCUACUCCAUGGACUCUAACGAAGUCCGCCGCGAAGUUCCUUCAGACACGUCUGUGAUGUUUUCAGUGAUGACGUGCGGAACGACGAUGCGGAGCGUACAAACCACCGCUAGACAAAACACGCAACAUUCUCAUGUAACGGAAGCGGGAAAGCAUAGGUGAUUGACCAUACGAACUUCCUUCUGACGGGAUCAGAGUCUCUCUCAUCGCCGAUCGCUUGAUCCUUCAACGCUCCAGGAGUUCCGUCGAAUUACGUUUCCGAGACUUUCCUUCACGAGAAAUACAGGAUCGACGAUGGAUCGAAUUAGUCUCUCUCUCCCCAAAUUUCGCUCUGCCGAUUCGGCUCUUCGUAUAUUUACACAACAAAAGUAACGAUGUCACACUCGUGCAUGAAGAAGCGAACGACACUGCGUGAAUCGAUCGUGUGUGUGUGUGUGUGUGUAUUCCAGCGACAUAGCGGAAAGAGAAACGCGCAAAUUGCGCAUAAAACGAUUACAUCAUAUCUGCUGUCGUUCUUUGUCGAGCACGUGAGGCGAUGAAGGUCACCAGUCUCCGGUAAAUAUUGUAACGCUAUGUUUUUAUCGUUAAACAUUAGAAGAGUUCCGCGCCUUA